GCUGAGUGCAGUGGUGGACGCCUGUAGUCCCAGCUACUCUGGAGGCCGAGGUAGGAGGAUCGCUUGAGCCCAGGAGUUUAAGGCUACAGUGAGCUAUGAUUGCAGCACUGUACUCCAGCCUGGGCAACAGAGUGAGACCCUGUCUCUU
rfam:Gorilla gorilla gorilla genomic chromosome, chr16, whole genome shotgun sequence